rnacentral:rRNA from 2 species
GAUUCGUCACACUAUCAUUAACUGAAUCCAUAGGUUAAUGAGGCGAACCGGGGGAACUGAAACAUCUAAGUACCCCGAGGAAAAGAAAUCAACCGAGAUUCCCCCAGUAGCGGCGAGCGAACGGGGAGGAGCCCAGAGCCUGAAUCAGCAUGUGUGUUAGUGGAAGCGUCUGGAAAGGCGCGCGAUACAGGGUGACAGCCCCGUACACAAAAGCGCAUGUGCUGUGAGCUCGAUGAGUAGGGCGGGACACGUGGUAUCCUGUCUGAAUAUGGGGGGACCAUCCUCCAAGGCUAAAUACUCCUGACUGACCGAUAGUGAACCAGUACCGUGAGGGAAAGGCGAAAAGAACCCCGGCGAGGGGAGUGAAAAAGAACCUGAAACCGUGUACGUACAAGCAGUGGGAGCACCCUUCGGGGUGUGACUGCGUACCUUUUGUAUAAUGGGUCAGCGACUUAUAUUCUGUAGCAAGGUUAACCGUAUAGGGGAGCCGGAGGGAAACCGAGUCUUAAUUGGGCGUUAAGUUGCAGGGUAUAGACCCGAAACCCGGUGAUCUAGCCAUGGGCAGGUUGAAGGUUGGGUAACACUAACUGGAGGACCGAACCGACUAAUGUUGAAAAAUUAGCGGAUGACCUGUGGCUGGGGGUGAAAGGCCAAUCAAACCGGGAGAUAGCUGGUUCUCCCCGAAAGCUAUUUAGGUAGCGCCUCGUGAAUUCAUCUCCGGGGGUAGAGCACUGUUUCGGCUAGGGGGCCAUCCCGGCUUACCAACCCGAUGCAAACUGCGAAUACCGGAGAAUGUUAUCACGGGAGACACACGGCGGGUGCUAACGUCCGUCGUGAAGAGGGAAACAACCCAGACCGCCAGCUAAGGUCCCAAAGUCAUGGUUAAGUGGGAAACGAUGUGGGAAGGCCCAGACAGCCAGGAUGUUGGCUUAGAAGCAGCCAUCAUUUAAAGAAAGCGUAAUAGCUCACUGGUCGAGUCGGCCUGCGCGGAAGAUGUAACGGGGCUAAACCAUGCACCGAAGCUGCGGCAGCGAACGUAUCACCCAAGACAACUUUACGGAGUUGACGAUUGACGGAGCGAAGCGACGUCAAAGCGUUCAUUAAAGUCGAGUUGGCUUAGGGAUACGUUCGUUGGGUAGGGGAGCGUUCUGUAAGCCUGUGAAGGUGUGUCGUGAGGCAUGCUGGAGGUAUCAGAAGUGCGAAUGCUGACAUAAGUAACGAUAAAGCGGGUGAAAAGCCCGCUCGCCGGAAGACCAAGGGUUCCUGUCCAACGUUAAUCGGGGCAGGGUGAGUCGACCCCUAAGGCGAGGCCGAAAGGCGUAGUCGAUGGGAAACGGGUUAAUAUUCCCGUACUUGGUGUUACUGCGAAGGGGGGACGGAGAAGGCUAUGUUGGCCGGGCGACGGUUGUCCCGGUUUAAGCGUGUAGGUGUGUGUUCCAGGUAAAUCCGGUUCACUUUAACACUGAGGCGUGACGACGAGGCACUACGGUGCUGAAGCAACAAAUGCCCUGCUUCCAGGAAAAGCCUCUAAGCAUCAGGUAACAUCAAAUCGUACCCCAAACCGACACAGGUGGUCAGGUAGAGAAUACCAAGGCGCUUGAGAGAACUCGGGUGAAGGAACUAGGCAAAAUGGUGCCGUAACUUCGGGAGAAGGCACGCUGACACGUAGGUGAAGUGAUUUACUCAUGGAGCUGAAGUCAGUCGAAGAUACCAGCUGGCUGCAACUGUUUAUUAAAAACACAGCACUGUGCAAACACGAAAGUGGACGUAUACGGUGUGACGCCUGCCCGGUGCCGGAAGGUUAAUUGAUGGGGUCAGCGCAAGCGAAGCUCCUGAUCGAAGCCCCGGUAAACGGCGGCCGUAACUAUAACGGUCCUAAGGUAGCGAAAUUCCUUGUCGGGUAAGUUCCGACCUGCACGAAUGGCGUAAUGAUGGCCAGGCUGUCUCCACCCGAGACUCAGUGAAAUUGAACUCGCUGUGAAGAUGCAGUGUACCCGCGGCAAGACGGAAAGACCCCGUGAACCUUUACUAUAGCUUGACACUGAACAUUGAGCCUUGAUGUGUAGGAUAGGUGGGAGGCUUUGAAGUGUGGACGCCAGUCUGCAUGGAGCCGACCUUGAAAUACCACCCUUUAAUGUUUGAUGUUCUAACGUGGACCCGUAAUCCGGGUUGCGGACAGUGUCUGGUGGGUAGUUUGACUGGGGCGGUCUCCUCCUAAAGAGUAACGGAGGAGCACGAAGGUUGGCUAAUCCUGGUCGGACAUCAGGAGGUUAGUGCAAUGGCAUAAGCCAGCUUGACUGCGAGCGUGACGGCGCGAGCAGGUGCGAAAGCAGGUCAUAGUGAUCCGGUGGUUCUGAAUGGAAGGGCCAUCGCUCAACGGAUAAAAGGUACUCCGGGGAUAACAGGCUGAUACCGCCCAAGAGUUCAUAUCGACGGCGGUGUUUGGCACCUCGAUGUCGGCUCAUCACAUCCUGGGGCUGAAGUAGGUCCCAAGGGUAUGGCUGUUCGCCAUUUAAAGUGGUACGCGAGCUGGGUUUAGAACGUCGUGAGACAGUUCGGUCCCUAUCUGCCGUGGGCGCUGGAGAACUGAGGGGGGCUGCUCCUAGUACGAGAGGACCGGAGUGGACGCAUCACUGGUGUUCGGGUUGUCAUGCCAAUGGCACUGCCCGGUAGCUAAAUGCGGAAGAGAUAAGUGCUGAAAGCAUCUAAGCACGAAACUUGCCCCGA